rnacentral:tRNA from 1 species
AGAGAAGGCUGGGCCAAAUUUUGGCUGCUAACUAAAAUUUAGGCAGUUCGAUUCUGUUUUUCUUUU